GCUGGUUCUAGCGUUGGGCAGCUGACUUGGAGACAUCGCCCUCCUCGAGAGUCUAAAUAGCACAGCAGAAGAAAGCUGGAAGAAAUGCUUCUUCCUCAUGAUUUUUCCCUUGUUGAUACUUUCUGCAGGGUUCCUGUCCAAAAGGAGAUUUCUGAGAUCGAGGCAGUCUGAGGAGGAGUGAAGCCAACCCUUGCCAAGAGCAGGGGAAGUUCCUGUGUGGAGAGAGCCCUGGGAACUUGUGCUUCCUCUGGCACUUCAGCGGCCAUGUCUCAGCAAGGAGACGGCCGCGGUUCCUAUUCCUGUGCUGCGUGUGGAAAGAAGCAGCGCAGUGCGGUUCCCCGUGUUUGGGAGCAGCAGCCAGUAGGCUGCAAGAGAUGCAGCUGCGCCUUUCAGCGCACAAAGGGACACAGUGGGGAUGGAGCAUCCUUACCACCACGCAAAAGGAUGGAGCCUGCGCACCCACUGAACGGUGCUGGGCACUGGGGAAAACGAAAAGCCUCCGCAGAAGCUGAUGCCAGUGGCCUUCCUCUGAAGCGCAGCCAUGCGGAAAGGCAGGGGAGGAGCACGGAGCGUGACGCGGCACCCAAGAGAGGUACAGACACAGCACAGGCGUCUGGGUUUGAUGCAGUGUCUUUCCAGUCAGGCUUUCUCUAUGUUCUUUCCUGGGACUGUUCUCAUUGCGUGCUGCUUGGGGUCUUAAUCCCCGGGAUUUACCAUUU
rnacentral:lncRNA from 1 species